rnacentral:rRNA from 1 species
CGUGUAGGCGGUCAGGUUAGUGGGACGUGAAAUGCCCCGGCUCACCCGGGGACCUGCGUCCCAAACUGCCUGGCUUGAGUAUGGGAGAGGAUGUGGGAAUUCCUGGUGUAGCGGUGAAAUGCGUAGAUAUCAGGAGGAACACCGGUGGCGAAGGCGCACAUCUGGCCCAAUACUGACGCUGAGGCGCGAAAGCUAGGGAGCAAACG